UAGAGUCAAAAGAUGAUUGAAGAGGUUGUUGUAAUAAUUUAGUAUUCACUCAUUCACUCUCCAGCUCCUGAGUCUCCUCUCUGUGUUGUGGGGAGAUGAGGAGUUGGAGAAGGGGUAAUGCCUCCUACAGCCUUUAAAACUCUUCUUACAACUGAUGGAGGCUGUGUUUCUCCCCUUCACUGGGAUGAAGCUGCUACUGGGCUGGCCUGCUCUAGGCUGAGCCCUGUGUGAAUUUCCUCAUUCUGAAAAAAAAAAUACUGGGUGAUCAUGAGGCUGUCAGCCGUGUUUCCUGCUUCACAAGUAGAGCUUUGUUUGAAGAAGUUUCAGAGUGCAAAAGUCAGAUUGAAUACAAUGGAGACACAAAAUGAAAUUGCUCUUUACAAGAAAUACAGGUGCAAUACAAUGGAAAUACACUUGUUUUAACACCACAAAUGUCCUGAGGAUUUCUAAAGGCUACUGAGUAGAUUAAGCCAAAGUGGAUUUAGGAAAGGAAAGAAGGAAGGCUGGUCAGAGAGGCAUGUAGGGGUGUGUGGGUGUGUGGGUCAGUACCCAUAUGUGUGAUUGGUAAGCAGGGACUGUAUGAACUUGAUGGAAGGGCUUUGAACACUAAUUAAAAACUCAACCUAGGAUAGAGGUUCCACUAGAAUGGGAAGAGCUGACUCUUCCUUCCCUACCCCCAGUUAUCUCCUCUGUAUUCCUGUGUUCACCAUUGCCUGCAUACAUGCAGAUACAUCCUCAUGCUCUGUCUGCUGACUAGUGAGUUCACAGAUACCCCACAGACCCUCUGGAUUAGGAACCAGGGGAAAGAGGAACGGGAAACAAACAUUCCACACACUAUGUCUACAAAAUGGGAGAAUCUCUUCCUGAAUUAGGUAUUUUUAAUCCUGGUCUAGGCUGCUUUCCAUGACCUGGGUGAGUACUUUGUACCAAGAGAGUCAGUCAACAGUCAGGAGGUAUUUAUGUAGUGCCUGCUAUAUUUCCACAUUGCUGUAGGGGCUAAGCUUGCAAUCAAGACUGGCAGUUUGCAGGUGUAGAGUGUUUUGUUUGACUUGAACGGUGCAAUUUACUUAUUUAUUUUAGUUUAAAUGCCUUUAGAUGGAGCAAGCACUUGACAGUUAAUCAUAGUCUUGCACCUAACUGUUGCUUUGCUUGCAGUUUAUGAGAGAAGAGACUCACCUAUAUGAAAGGAUUGUGUCCCUUCAAUCCAAGGGCAUCAUCCUAAGCUGCAGAGAGACUGGAUCUGGCUUUUUGAGCAGUUAACUGGGUCUUACACUUCCGGCUCACAAGUACUCAUGUCCUUGUGUUCAUUCAGCCCUUCAUUCAACAAAUGUUUACUGAGCACCUACUAUGUGCCAGAUGUUGAAGUCCAAAGAGGUGAACAAUGGAAAGACAUCAGCUGUGAGUCAGUGGGGAGUGUCUGAGGAUGGAGGCGCUAUGGCUCCCUGGAGAUCUCUUGGUGUGUCCACAUGCCGGGUGGGUCCACGGACAGGAGCUCUUCUGGUGCUUCCCUCACUCCCCACCCGACCCAUGCAGUACCCACCCUCUGCAGCUGGGCCCUCCAGCUGGCUCAGCUCAGCCCUGUUUCAUGUUUAGUCGGUCUUUGAUCUUCACUCUUUAACUAAAGCCAGAGCCAGGUGAAACCUGAUUUUAUCCUUUUCUCAAAUGUGAACUAAGCUCAAAAGAAAGAGAAGGCUGAUAUGGACCCACAUCUAAACUCACAUCUGAAAUAAAAACUUGAGUGGAUUUUCCUGUUGAUCUAGAAUUGGUCACUGGGGCUGAAAUUGAGGACAAAGAGAUGAUCACCAACCUUCUGAUCUGGCCCUAUGCUUGGAAGAGCAGGAGGAGAGACAAGGAGGGAGAGAGGGCAGCGUGAACACAGUGUGACCAGAGACAAGCCUGCGUGUCUGCAUUUCAGUGUUUUAAGAGGACAUGAAUUUUCCAUGGGUCCAGUGGACAAUGUGGAAGGUGGGUGGGCUUGAGUUGCCCUGCCUGUUUUGGCACCUGCUGCUGUGUGGGUGGUGGGCCCCAGCAGCAGGAGACUGCAGUGUGCCAAGGUACACGGAGAGGUAAGAGCUGGAGUUGGACCUCCCAUCUCAGAGGAGUGUGCAGGGGAGGGGAGCAGCCCCGGAUGGAGGCUUGUUGGUGAGAGUUGAGGCCAACAGCAGAGUUAACUACCAAGCUUGCAUUCCUGUUCCAUGCUCUUUCCACCCUGAGCUCCAGAGAAGCCAAGCCUUUAAGGGUUGAGAGGCCUAAGGGUCCAGAGUUCCUCACUCCAAGCAGUCAGGGUCCCUGUCAGCCUUGCUGGGGGUUGGGGGAAGGGAGCAGAACGAUUUAAAUUAAGUUUGAGAUUGAAGUUUUAAACAUAUCUGACUUUUAAUAACCCAAAGUGAUCAGAAAGUUAUGAAAUUUGAUGAAGGUGCUAUUAAGAGAUGGGAAUGGGUGAUUAGAUGAGGCUUGAUUAAAGGCAGUGAAUCGAAAAAAACUCAUGUUUAUAUCCCACUGUGUUGAGACACAUUUUAGAACAUUAUUGAAAUGGAACCAAAAUCUGAAAAAUAUUAGGGCUCCAGCCAGCCCUGCUCUGACCUGGACUGUGAGUGAACUGGCAGGCCCUGGCAGUGAUUCGUGGGGUGCCUUGUUUGAGGGAGUGGCAUUGAACCCUUGGAGUGUGUCCAUUGGAGUGCAGAAUUGAAUGUCACCCAAGUCAUAGAAACAAGUGGAGAAGCUCUUCAGAAACAUUUAGUGAGCACCAGUUGAUUAGUUAAAUUAAUAAUUCAAGUAUACAAAACAAGGAGGAAACAAAAGGAAAGAUUUCAGAAGUCUCUUAAAAUUGGGAAAACUCUGAAGAAGGAAUAGGCAGCCACCAAUGACAGGAGUCCCAUCCAUGCAGGAUAAUGUUCCUGGGAAGCACUUUUUGCCUGGGGAUUUUAUGGAAUAUUUAGAACAGUGACAGUCAACAGGGGCUGCCCACGUGCAAAACCCCCUUGUGUUAGGAAGCAUUCCCAAACAUCUGGGAACCACCUGUGAAGUAGAUCUUAGCCUAUACUCCUUCCUAUAAAAACACUGAGGAUUUUUUCUUUUUUAAUGUUGGAAGACACUUUCCUAAUCCCCCAAUUCCCUUCCUUCCUAAGAGAAUAACUGGAUACUUGGCAUACUUUGUGUUUUGGCCACAGAAUACAUAUUUUCACAUGACUGUAAUCAUAGUGCAGACACAAUUUUGGUCUCUCCUUUAGCUGUAAGUGCAGACUUCCAGUUACUUCUCUUCAUAAUGGUAGAAUAUUCUAUUGUAAAUGCUAGGGCACACUGAACUUUUCUUGUAUGGUUAUUAGUAUCUUCAAAAUUAUAGAUGCUAGUGUGGUGAAUAUCUUCAUACACAUGGAGCUUCCUCCUUUUCAAUAAUGUUAUGAAGAUACAUUCUCAGAGGUGAUGUUUCAGAGUCAGAUUAGGUGGCUUUCGUUGACCCUUGUAGCGCUUUUCUGCCGUGGUCCCGACUUACGGCGUUCACAGUGGGACAGGGAUAUUCCUGGAGGUGUGGAUGGGGUGCCCCAUGAUGGCCUGUCACAGGCAGAGUGCACUGCACAGAAGAAGGAAAUGCUGGGAUAUUUGCAGGCCACUCAUUGAUCAGGACAAGGAGCUGUGAAGGAACUAUUUAGGUUCAAGUAUUUGGGGUUGAACAGUGUUGACUUUCCAUAUUGAAUACAGGACAUUUAUCCAUCUCUUCUUCCCAGCCACAAUCAAUGAUGGUUAAACUCUUAAGAGCCCACCUGCUGUUUGUCAUUACAAAACCCAAGGUCCCCAGGUAAGAUGAAGCCCAAAUCAUUCAUUUACUUUAAGUCCUGGUUUGAGAAAUGACUCCAGUACACAGAUCUGUGGUAGGUCUCACAGAAGAGGGAAAAGGUGGAGACUACUUUCCCCUUGCUCAGAUGAAGCUUCCUUCCCUCCUCUUGACAUGCUCAGAGUAUGGCACCAUUGUCGUCAUAAUCAUCAUCAGUCACAUUUGAGCACUGACUCUGAGCCAGCACUUUCUCAAUUUCACCAUCUCGUUUAGCUUUCACAGCAAUCCUACGAGGUAGAUAAUGGCAUCAUCCCUAUUUACAGAGAAGGAAACUGAGGCAUAGAGGUUAAGUAUUAAGUAAUUUGCCCAAGGACACAUAGCUAAUACGUGACUGUAUUGGGCCAUGAAUGUGGACAGUUGGCUAAGACAGAAUUUCUAGCACUGAGGAGCUCACACCGUGUGUGUGUGUGUGUGUUUGUGUGUUUGUGUUUGUGUGUAUGUUGUGUU